AACGAACGCUGGCGGCGUGCCUAACACAUGCAAGUCGAGCGGGAAAGUUCCCUUCGGGGAGCGAGUACAGCGGCGCACGGGUGAGUAACACGUAGGUAACCUACCCUGGAGACCGGGAUAACCUGCCGAAAGGCGGGCUAAUACCGGAUGAGACCACGAGGGCUGCGGCCCUUGAGGAAAAAGAUGGCCUCUACUUGUAAGCUAUCACUCCGGGAUGGGCCUGCGCGCCAUUAGCUAGUUGGGAGGUAACGGCUCACCAAGGCCGAGAUGGCUAGCUGGUCUGAGAGGAUGGCCAGCCACACUGGGACUGAGACACGGCCCAGACUCCUACGGGAGGCAGCAGUGGGGAAUAUUGCGCAAUGGGCGAAAGCCUGACGCAGCGACGCCGCGUGGGUGAUGAAGGCCU
rnacentral:rRNA from 1 species